rnacentral:rRNA from 1 species
AACGAACGCUGGCGGCAUGCCUAACACAUGCAAGUCGAACGAGACCUUCGGGUCUAGUGGCGCACGGGUGCGUAACGCGAGGGAACCUGCCCUUAGGUUCGGAAUAACUCCCCGAAAGGGGUGCUAAUACCGGAUAAUGUCUUCGGACCAAAGAUUUAUCGCCUUUGGAUGGGCCCGCGUUGGAUUAGCUAGUUGGUAGGGUAAAAGCCUACCAAGGCGACGAUCCAUAGCUGGUCUGAGAGGAUGAUCAGCCACACUGGGACUGAGACACGGCCCAGACUCCUACGGGAGGCAGCAGUGGGGAAUAUUGGACAAUGGGCGAAAGCCUGAUCCAGCAAUGCCGCGUGAGUGAGGAAGGCCUUAGGGUUGUAAAGCUCUUUUAACCGGGAUGAUAAUGACAGUACCGGGAGAAUAAGCUCCGGCUAACUCCGUG